UCUUGGAUGUAGCCAGCGAAUGCUUGGGAAGUGUUUGAUUAUCAUUAAGUUUUCUGUUUUUGUUGUUUAAAAAAAAAAUCAUCUUCUAAGUUUCCGCAUUGUUUUUUGAUCAGUUUAGCUCAGGGAAAGCUUCAGUGGAGGAAGAAGUACAGACCGGAAUGGAAAACAGAGUACAGAUUGGCAUGAAAAUAGAGAAUCUUUAAGACCUAGACUGGGAGAGAUGAGGCACCUCUAUAUAACCCUCCUACCACAUCAAAUUCAUCUGUAAACCAACAAAAAAUGUUCUACCUAGUGGUGAUGCACCUGAAGGAUGCAUGCUGCAGCAGGCUGUUUGUUAUCACUGAAAGCACUACAAGGUUUGCCUUCUCUAGUAAAGCAUACCUAUUUUCGUUUCACUGCAUUCUGAGUGUGGUCCUACUGGCAUCAUUUCCAGCAUGGUGAGUGGAAAUAGACUUCUCAUUGGGCAGUAAGGUUAUUCCAAGUUUCACAGUGAAGCCCUAUAACUGCCACUGUGCUGAAAAUGGAUCUCAUGGUGUCUUCUAUUUUACUGUCCUGUGAACCCAAAUGUCAAGAAGUAAUGAAAAUAACAAUAACUAGAAG